rnacentral:rRNA from 1 species
CAGUAGCCGCGGUAAUACAGAGGGUGCGAGCGUUAAUCGGAUUUACUGGGCGUAAAGCGUGCGUAGGCGGCUUCUUAAGUCGGAUGUGAAAUCCCUGAGCUUAACUUAGGAAUUGAAUUCGAUACUGGGAAGCUAGAGUAUGGGAGAGGAUGGUAGAAUUCCAGGUGUAGCGGUGAAAUGCGUAGAGAUCUGGAGGAAUACCGAUGGCGAAGGCAGCCAUCUGGCCUAAUACUGACGCUGACGUACGAAAGCAUGGGGAGCAAACAGGAUUAGAUACCCCUGUAGUCCCUGUCUCUUAUAC